ensembl:snRNA U6 U6 spliceosomal RNA
GUGCUCCGUUCAGCAACACAUAGACUAAAAUUGGAAUGGAAUAGAGAUUAGCAUAGGGCCUGAAAAAGGAUGACCAAAAAUUUGUGAAGAGCUUCAUAUUUUA